UACGUAGGGUGCGAGCGUUAAUCGGAAUUACUGGGCGUAAAGCGUGCGUAGGCGGUUUGCCGUGUCCUGUGUGAAAGCCCCGGGCUCAACCUGGGAAUUGCAUGGGAAACUGGCAGGCUUGAGUGCGGCAGAGGAGGGUGGAAUUCCGCGUGUAGAGGUGAAAUUCGUAGAUAUUGGGAAGAACACCAGUGGCGAAGGCGGCUCACUGGCCCGUUACUGACGCUCAGGCGCGAUAGCGUGGGGAUCAAACAGG
rnacentral:rRNA from 1 species